CCUACGGGCGGCAGCAGUGAGGAAUAUUGGUCAAUGGCCGAGAGGCUGAACCAGCCAAGUCGCGUGAGGGAAGACGGCCCUACGGGUUGUAAACCUCUUUUGUCGGGGAGUAAAGAGAGUCACGUGUGAUUCAUUGAGAGUACUCGAAGAAUAAGCAUCGGCUAACUCCGUGCCAGCAGCCGCGGUAAUACGGAGGAUGCGAGCGUUAUCCGGAUUUAUUGGGUUUAAAGGGUGCGCAGGCGGAGGUGCAAGUCAGCGGUCAAAUUGUGGGGCUCAACCCCGUACUGCCGUUGAAACUGCAUGCCUUGAGUGCGCGAGAAGUAUGCGGAAUGCGUGGUGUAGCGGUGAAAUGCAUAGAUAUCACGCAGAACUCCGAUUGCGAAGGCAGCAUACCGGCGCGCAACUGACGCUCAUGCACGAAAGCGUGGGUAUCGAACAGGAUUAGAUACCCUUGUAGUC
rnacentral:rRNA from 1 species